UUGCUGGCCACCUAGUAGAUGCUACACACAAAGUGCCGAAAUUAAAUAUCACUGGCCAUGGCCCAGAACACAGAUGGCCAUUUUAAAUAGUUUAAAAAUCCCGCAAUGUGCUUGGGUGGAUAUUAAAGUGACCACGGCUUGCAGGUUGACCACAGAACAGGUUUUCCAGUAUAAACAAAUAGUCCCAGACUUAAUUAGUGGAUUAUUCUGCAAAAUCUUAUAUAAAUCAGAGCAUAUAUUAUUAUAUAGUACUACUGGAUCACAAAGAUAUAAAAUUAAAAAUAAUAAUAAUAAAGAAUAAGCACAUAAAUUGCAUGAUAAGCAAUCUCUUAUUCUUAUUUUUGGAGA
rnacentral:lncRNA from 1 species